AAAGACUUAGUCCUAACCUUACAGUUGGCUUCUGCUAGAUAUAUACAUGCAAGUAUCCGCGGCCCAGUGUAAAUGCCCCAGACCUCUUAUUAAGACCAAAGGAGCAGGCAUCAGGCACACACCACCAACUGUAGCCCAAGACGCCUUGCUCAGCCACACCCCCACGGGCACUCAGCAGUAAUUAACAUUAAGCAAUAAGCGCAAGCUUGACUUAGUCACAGCAACCUUAGGGUUGGUAAAUCUUGUGCCAGCCACCGCGGUCACACAAGAAACCCGAGCCAACAGUCACACGGCGUAAAGAGUGGACUAGAACCUGUCAUAACAACUAGGAAACCAAAACACACCUGAGCUGUCAUAAGCCCAAGAUACCCAUAAGAUCAACCUAAAAAUGGUCCUAGUAUGCCUGACGAACCAAGCCCCACGAAAGCUAGGACCCAAACUGGGAUUAGAUACCCCACUAUGCCUAGCCCUAAAUCCUGAUGUACACCAUACCAGAGCACAUCCGCCCGAGAAUUACGAGCACAAACGCUUGAAACUCUAAGGACUUGGCGGUGCCCCAAAACCACCUAGAGGAGCCUGUUCUAUAAACGACACCCCACGCUACACCCUACCACUUCUCGCUAGAAACAGCCUACAUACCGCCGUCGCCAGCUCACCCUGAUUGAAGGACACACAGUGAGCACAAUAACCACUCCGUUAACACGACAGGUCAAGGUAUAGCCUACGAAGUGGAAGUAAUGGGCUACAUUUUCUAAUAUAGAAUAACCCAACGGAAGGGAACCUGAAAUUGUUCCCGGAAGGCGGAUUUAGCAGUAAAGCAGGAUAACAUAAGCCUACUUUAAGCCGGCCCUGGGGCACGUACAUACCGCCCGUCACCCUCCUCACAAGCUACCAACCCAUAAUAACUAAUCCACCACUAUAGCCAAAGAUGAGGUAAGUCGUAACAA
rnacentral:ncRNA from 1 species